AGCACACAGCAGGUUCCUGUGGUCAUGCC
rnacentral:piRNA from 1 species